rnacentral:rRNA from 1 species
GACGAACGCUGGCGGCGUGCUUAACACAUGCAAGUCGAACGGAAAGGCCCUGCUUUUGUUGGGUGCUCGAGUGGCGAACGGGUGAGUAACACGUGAGUAACCUGCCCUUGACUUUGGGAUAACUUCAGGAAACUGGGGCUAAUACCGGAUAGGAGCUCCUGCUGCAUGGUGGGGGUUGGAAAGUUUCGGCGGUGGGGGGUGGACUCGCGGCUUAUCAGCUUGUUGGUGGGGUAGUGGCUUACCAAGGCUUUGACGGGUAGCCGGCCUGAGAGGGUGACCGGCCACAUUGGGACUGAGAUACGGCCCAGACUCAUACGGGAGGCAGAAGUGGGGAAUAUUGCACAAUGGGCGGAAGCCUGAUGCAGCAACGCCGCGUGCGGGAUGACGGCCUUCGGGUUGUAAACCGCUUUCGCCUGUGACGAAGCGUGAGUGACGGUAAUGGGUAAAGAAGCACCGGCUAACUACGUG